AUUGAACGCUGGCGGCAGGCCUAACCCAUGCAAGUCGAGCGGAGCGGCGGACGGGUGAGUAAUGCCUAGGAAUCUGCCUGGUAGUGGGGGAUAACGUCCGGAAACGGGCGCUACUACCGCAUACUAUCAGAUGAGCCUAGGUCGGAUUAGCUAGUUGGUGUGGUAAAGGCCUAACAAGGCGACGAUCCUUAACUGGGCUGCGAAGAUGAUCAGUAACACGGGAACUGAGACACGGUCCAGACUCCGACGGGAGGCAGCAGUGGGGAAGAGUGGACAAGGGGCGAAAGCCUGAGCCAGCCAUGCCGAGUGUGUGAAGAAGGUCGUCGGAUUGGAAAGCACGUUAAGUUGGGAGGCGUUACCAACAGAAUAGGCACCGGCGAACUUCGUGCCAGAAGCCGCGGUAAUAC
rnacentral:rRNA from 1 species